rnacentral:rRNA from 1 species
UAUAAGGUCUGACCUGCCCAAUGAGGAUUUAAAUGGCCGCAGUAUUUUGACUGUGCAAAGGUAGCAUAAUUAUUAGUUUUUUAAUUGAGAACUUGUAUGAAGGGUCGGACGAGAUAAAAACUGUCUUUAUCUAAAUUAAAAUAGAAUUUAACUUUUAAGUCAAAAGGCUUAAAUGUUUAUAAUAGACGAGAAGACCCUAUAGAUCUUUAUUUAAUUAAUAUUUUAAUAAUUUAGGAUUAUUUUAAUUUAAAAUUUUAAUUGAAUUUUAUUGGGGUAAUAUAAAGAUUAAAUUAAUUCUUUUUAUUAAUUACAUUUAUUUAUGAUUAAAUGAUCCAAUAUUAUUGAUUAUAAGAUUAAGUUACCUUAGGGAUAACAGCGUAAUUUUUUUGGAGAGCUCAUAUCGAUAAAAAAGUUUGCGACCUCGAUGUUGGAUUAAAAAUUAUCUUGGGUGUAGAAGCUCAAGAUUUUGGUCUGUUCGACCNNNNNNNNNNNNNNUGAUCUGAGUUCAAACCGGCGUAAGCCAGGUCGGUUUCUAUCUUUAUUNNNNNNNNNNNNNNNNNNNNACGAAAGGACCAAAUAUUUGAUAUAAUUAUAUUUUUUAUAUGAAUAAUAUUAUUACUUUGGCAGAUUAGUGUGAUGAAUUUAGAAUUCAUGAAUGUAAUUAUAUUACAAGUAAUACUUGUAUUUAGGGGAUUUAUUGUUAAUGAUAAUAUGUAUAUUAAUUCUUGUAAUUUGUGUGUUAGUGGGUGUAGCAUUUUUGACUUUAUUAGAACGAAGGGUAUUAGGAUACAUUCAAAUUCGG